rnacentral:rRNA from 1 species
AACGAACGUUAGCGGCGCGCCUAACACAUGCAAGUCGAGCGAGAAAGGGGCAACCCCGGUAAAGCGGCGCACGGGUGAGUAACACGUAGGUAAUCUACCCUCGGGUGGAGGAUAACUUUCCGAAAGGAAGGCUAAUACUGCAUGAGACCACGGUUCCGGAAGGGAUUGAGGUCAAAGCCGGCCACUGUACACAAGCUGGCGCCUGAGGAUGAGCCUGCGGCCCAUCAGCUAGUUGGUAGGGUAAUGGCCUACCAAGGCGAAGACGGGUAGCUGGUCUGAGAGGAUGAUCAGCCACACUGGAACUGAGACACGGUCCAGACUCCUACGGGAGGCAGCAGUGGGGAAUCUUGCGCAAUGGGCGAAAGCCUGACGCAGCGACGCCGCGUGAGUGAUGAAGG